rfam:Daphnia pulex DAPPTscaffold_5834_Cont16799, whole genome shotgun sequence.
UACUCCGCUCCAUAGCGUAUAUUAAAGUUGUUGCGGUUAAAAAGCUCGUAGUCGGAUGUCUGUCUUCGGCCGGGCGGCGCCGCUCUGAAUCAAGGGUGUUGCGUUUCACGCUCUGGGAGCCCGGGUGUCAAAGCCCGACUCUCUUCACGGUCGGACAACAUCGCCGGAGUGGUGGUCGGUGCGUCGUUGUUGUAUCUGCGGCCAGAGUUGGAAAGUUCUUUCGGGUUCUUUUUUAAUUUUGGUCGUAGUUGACUCGAUUCGCUCCACCCAGUCAAUCGUUCGGGGUGCCCUUCACCGGGUGUCUCGGGCGGCCGGCAACGUUUACUUUGAACAAAUUAGAGUGCUCAAAGCAGGUGUAUCCCAACGCCUGAAUAUCGCAGCAUGGAAUGAUGGAAUAGGACCUCGGUCCGAUUUUGCUGGUCUUUUACUUUUGGACCCGAGGUAAUGGUCAAUAGAGACGGACGGGGGCAUUCGUACUGCGGCGACAGAGGUGAAAUUCUUGGACCGCCGCAAGACGAACAACAGCGAAGGCAUUUGCCAAGAAUGUUUUCCUUGAUCAAGAACGAAAGUUAGAGGUUCGAAGGCGAUCAGAUACCGCCCUAGUUCUAACCAUAAACGAUGCCAACCAGCAAUCCGUCGGAGUUACUCCAAUGACUCGACGGGCAGCUUCCGGGAAACCAAAGUCUUUGGGUUCCGGGGGAAGUAUGGUUGCAAAGCUGANACUUAAAGGAAUUGACGGAAGGGCACCACCAGGAGUGGAGCCUGCGGCUUAAUUUGACUCAACACGGGAAACCUCACCAGGCCCGGACACUGGAAGGAUUGACAGAUUGAGAGCUCUUUCUUGAUUCGGUGGGUGGUGGUGCAUGGCCGUUCUUAGUUGGUGGAGCGAUUUGUCUGGUUAAUUCCGAUAACGAACGAGACUCUAGCCUGCUAAAUAGGUGACGGGUUUUAUCAAUUGAAACCGAAGGGAGUACGGAGGCGUCGGGAUCAGGUGGCGGCGAUUCGGGUCUCGGUGGGACUGGUUCCUUUAGUGAGGCAAUCUCUCGGCUUGGUUUCGUUGUGCUUUGUUCGUCGGGUGUACGGCCUUCACGGGUUGGUUGCCUGGCGGAUGAGGUAUGGCGGGGCUUUGUCGGGAAUGUCUCGCGGGGGCUGGCUCUAUUGUUAUUCGGUCGUCGUCAUCCCCGGCGAUACCUUCUGCUCUCGCGUCCGUCACGCAGUCUUCUUAGAGGGACAAGCGGCGUCCAGCCGCGUGACAGUGAGCAAUAACAGGUCUGUGAUGCCCUUAGAUGUCCUGGGCCGCACGCGCGCUACACUGAAGGAAUCAGCGUGUUUCACUCUCCCUGUCCGAAAGGACCGGGUAACCGCUGAACCUCCUUCGUGGUUGGGAUUGGGGACUGCAAUGAUCCCCAUGAACCAGGAAUCCCUAGUAGGCGCGGGUCACUAGCCCGCGUCGAUUACGUCCCUGCCCUUUGUACACACCGCCCGUCGCUACUACCGAUUGAAUGAUUUAGUGAGGCCUUCGGACGGGCUUGUCGGGGUGCCGUCGAGUGGGGAGCAAUCUCUGCCCGUGCGGUGCCUACCAACGGCGAGACUGAAAGAUGG